rnacentral:rRNA from 1 species
UACGGAGGGGACUAGCGUUGUUCGGAAUUACUGGGCGUAAAGGGCUCGUAGGCGGCCAACUAAGUCAGACGUGAAAUCCCUCGGCUUAACCGGGGAACUGCGUCUGAUACUGGAUGGCUUGAGUUCGGGAGAGGGAUGCGGAAUUCCAGGUGUAGCGGUGAAAUGCGUAGAUAUCUGGAGGAACACCGGUGGCGAAGGCGGCAUCCUGGACCGACACUGACGCUGAGGAGCGAAAGCCAGGGGAGCAAACGGGG